CCUACGGGUGGCAGCAGUGGAGAAUAUUUCACAAUGGGGGAAACCCUGAUGCUGCGACGCCGCGUGAGUGAAUAAGUGAUUCGUUAUGUAAAGCUCUAUCAGCAGGGAAGCAACAGACGGUAACUGAGUAAGAAGCCCCGGCUAACGACGUGCCAGCAGCCGCGGUAAUACGUAGGGGGCAAGCGUUAUCCGGAUUUACUGGGGGUAAAGGGAGCGUAGACGGCGAAGAAAGUCUGAAGUGAACGCCCGCGGCUUAACCGCGGAACUGCUUUGGAAAAUUGUUUGCUGGAGUACCGGAGAGGGAAGCGGAAUUCCUGGUGUAGCGGUGAAAUGAGUAGAUAUUAGGAGGAACACUAGUGGCGAAGGCGGCUUACUGGACGGUAACUGACGCUGAGGCUCGAAAGCGGGGGGAGCAAACAGGAUUAGAUACCCGGGUAGUC
rnacentral:rRNA from 1 species